GUGAGGAAUAUUGGACAAUGGGCGCAAGCCUGAUCCAGCCAUGCCGCGUGCAGGAAGACGCAUCUAUGGAGUGUAAACUGCUUUUGUACGGGAAGAAACACUCCCUCGUGAGGGAGCUUGACGGUACCGUAAGAAUAAGGAUCGGCUAACUCCGUGCCAGCAGCCGCGGUAAUACGGAGGAUCCAAGCGUUAUCCGGAAUCAUUGGGUUUAAAGGGUCCGUAGGCGGUUUAAUAAGUCAGUGGUGAAAGCCCAUCGCUCAACGAUGGAACGGCCAUUGAUACUGUUAGACUUGAAUUACAAGGAAGUAACUAGAAUAUGUAGUGUAGCGGUGAAAUGCUUAGAUAUUACAUGGAAUACCAAUUGCGAAGGCAGGUUACUACUUGUGGAUUGACGCUGAUGGACGAAAGCGUGGGGAGCGAACAGGAUUAGAAACCCUGGUAGUCC
rnacentral:rRNA from 1 species